GAAAGCGGGGGGCGGGGUGGGGGGAUAAUACAGUGGGGGGGGUGGUGAUUUGGAUGUAAUGGGCGUAAAGGGCGGGUAGGUGGCUAAUUAAGUCAAAGGUGAAAUCCCCGAGCUUAACUUGGGAAUUGCAGUCGAUACUGGUUGGCUAGAGUAUGGGAGAGGAUGGUAGAAGUCCAGGUGUAGCGGUGAAAUGCGUAGAGAUCUGGAGGAAUACCGAUGGCGAAGGCAGCCAUCUGGCCUAAUACUGACACUGAGGUGCGAAAGCAUGGGGAGCAAACAGGAUUAGAUACCCGAGUAGUC
rnacentral:rRNA from 1 species